rnacentral:tRNA from 1 species
GCAAUGGUGGCUUAGUGGUAGAAUUCUUGCCUUCCAUGCGAGAGAGCCGAGUUCAAUUCCCAGCCAAUGCA